rnacentral:lncRNA from 13 species
CAGCACACAAAUUUUACUGUUGUCCCUGGAAACUGCAGAGCUAAUUCCCUGCGCAGUUCACCUAAAAUGUAUCUCCCAGUGUCCAGUUUGGUUUUAUCUGAUGAAGCGAAGCAGAGAAAAUAGAAUGCUGCUAUAUGGAGAAUGGAAGUUGGAGAACAAGCAUGAACGCAGAGAGGGACAUGGAUGAUUCUGGAGAACAUCAUCCUCAGCAAACUGACACAAGAACAGAAAAUGAAACAGCACAUAUUCUCACUCAUAGGCGGGUGAUGAAAAAUGAGAACACAUGGACACAGAAAGGGGAGUACUAAACACUGGGGUCUAUUGGGGGGAAAAGGGGAGGGCCAGUGGGAGGGGGAGGUA